GGUCAACUCUUCUGGAAAAGGUGGAUUGUACGGGACCAGUCUAUAGCCCAGCUCUAAGAGGAGGAUGGAUGGAUAUGGAACCCAGAUGGAGUGACAGUUGCAGGCGGCUGCCCAACACUUGUACUCUUAAAAAGGGAAAACAAUGCAAAGAGAGGAUGUCCCCGGAGGGAGAUCAUGCCCUGACCCAGCUGCUCACACAUGCAAGACAGAUUUUUUUCAAGCACAGGACCCGGUUGGGAACUUGACUGCCAUUUGUGCCCUUGAAAACACCCCUCUUUGCCUUUUAGUGAUUAGAAUCAUCAAAUUAUCAGAAAACAUAGAUUGGAAAGGAUAUCUGGAGAUCGUCUGGUCCAACCUCAUGCUGAAAGCAGAUCUGACUUCACUUCAUGAGGUUGCCCAAGGUCUUGUUUGGUGAAGCUUUACGUCUCUCCGAGAAUGAGCAUGCUGCAGCCUCUCUGGACAACCUAUCUCUGUGCUCAACUGCCCCCAUGAAAAGAAUCCUCUUCCUUCCUUCUGAGAGACAGUGAGAAAGAAGCUCCUGUAUCUCAUGGGGAUGAUGACAACCACUCCCCUCUGUCAACUCCUCUCUUUCGCCAUUUGAUUUCACAAGAAGAAUCGGGUCAGUGCCCUGAAUGGCUGUCUGGUUUCUGUAGGACCUGCUGGAAGUGGCUCAGAAGAGCACAGUCAUGCUAAGCCAGCUGUCCUGCAGGGAGAGCUGUGCCACUGGGAGGCAUGACCUCACUGAGGGCUGCUGCGAGACAUGGAUCUGCAUCCUAUUUUGCUUCUUUGGCAAGGUCAUGUUCCAGUGUGAGACAGAGCCAGCCUUGGCAGAAUUGCCAACAUCCAAAGGCCAGUGGCUCAACUGGUGUAAAUCAGCACUCAGUCUCUCUGCUUGUGCCCACUAGAAACCACAGAUCUGGGCUGUUGUGGACCUCCUUCUUUUCUGAAAUGGUCCCGAAUUUUAAGGCUGGAAUUUUGCUCAGUGGAAUAGAUGAUAGAGCAUUCUUUUAAUUCUAGGUGUGAGGCCGUGGUACAGCUUGCCUGAGGUGGCACAGCAGGGGGACAAGUCAAGAUCAUGCUCAAGGUGUCCUCGCCGCAUGCUGCACUGCUGCUGCAUUGCUCCCUCACAUGGACAUUUCCCAGAAGCCUGUGCAGGUUGGUCACGUUAAGGGAUAUGAAGAGGAUGUAUUGACUUUUUAAUGAAUUUCAAGUUCCACAAAUGGGAGCCUUUCAGGAUCAAAAUAUUAGGGCCAUUUCUGCUGCUGGUCCAUGCUCACACUCAGCACUUCAGCUGGCAGCUGCCUGCAGGCACCAGAGGAUGCCCAAGCAUCUGUCUUUCACUGAAAUGGAGGAUACUUUUUCAGAGGGUGAGAGGACACUUCAUUCCCUGCAUGCCUGGGAGAAAGAUUUGUCUUCCCCUGGGGAGGAGAAGCCUCUGGAGGCACCUGCCUCUUGUUGCCUUGACUCACAGUACACAUUGUCAUCCUGAAGGAGAAAUUCCUUCCAGGGCUUUGAGGCCACGUGGGUUGCCCCCCAGCGCCAGCGCAGUGCUGCUCCUCCUGCUUCACUGGAUACUUCCCUGGACUCAGAGAUGAUAUUUUCACAUGGCCACUGUAGCAGCCUUUCCACAUGUGCCACUGGAGAGGAUGCUUCACAGUCCCCAGGAUCAUCUCCUUGUGAUACAGGACGAACGACUCAGCCAGCAGCAACCACCUUCUUCCAAGGAAAAACGCAAAAAAGCCACUGCAGAGUACAGGGGACAGAGUAAGACAGCACUCAGUGUCACUGGGAAAAGUGUGGGAAAGGAAGAGCCCCUUAUGGUAUGGAGGUAGGAUGUAUGGAGACCAUUGCCAGCGAACUCUUCCCCCACAGCAAUGCCUUGCAAGUGUCGUGGUCAUCUGCAAGUGACAACAGAGACACAUCUUGCUCUCAACUGCAUCUCAUCACAUCGCAUCAGCGUGUAACUGCACUCAUAGAGUCUCCCACAUCCAAAGAGAACUGGCUCUGCACUGAAAAUGUCCCCUGUUACACCCACAGGAACUCUGGAUGCAGGAAAUACUCUGUCAAAAUGGAAUGGUCCAGGUUAUGGCUUGAUUGAACGAUUUAUCAUUUUUGAAAGGCAUGACAGCUGGUGUGAACUUUUGUAUCAGGUAUCAGCGUUCCCCACUCCAAAUACUUCCAUGUGACUGGCUUUGGUUAAAGAAGGCACUCUUGCUGAAUUUAAUUAGCUGGAAACACAAUUUAAGGGCAGAAACCAUCCCUUCUUGUUACCAAGGAAGAUGGCCUGGAGCGUUGCUCUGUGCCCAAGAGUCUCCCUAGCACAGCUUUCUGGCUGAGAAAACAAUGUGCUACAUCCAGGAAAAAUAUGAAGGCUAUAUCCGUGCCUAGAAACUGUCACACUGGUAUCUUUAUAAAUUGUACUGAUGUAAAAACAAAGUGCCUUAAUUUAAUUACUUGUGUUUUCCUUGGUUAGUGUAAGACAAGUUCGGGGAGGGGGGGUAUCUGAGGACCUUUUUCCUAUCAAACUAUCUUGAAAGGCCGAGGCCUCUAAGCAGACCCUGUCUGCUCUGCAGAGAUAUAGACACACACUUUUUGAGCAGACCCAUGCCCCAAGCGUGUGAGGGCAGUGCAUCCCCCUGCCACAAAUCUGCAGGGAAAGAGGGAGAGAGAGCUUCCCCUGGCUUGAUGCUGCUCCAUGGGCUGGUGUGGUGGCAGGAGCAUAGGGUUCCCUGCACCACACAGCUGAGAGGCUGCUGUGCCCUUGCGAGGAGGUAGAUGAGGCUUUAGUAAGAGGGUAAUAAUGGUUUCUAACCCUUCUGCUGGUCACGCAGAGGAAGAAGACUCUUUGCAGCCAUAUAUCUUAGUAGAAGGUGCACCAAGUAUGGAAACGCAUCUUGAAGGAAAACAGGUGCUUUCAUUUGGCAUUUCUGAAAAAAAUAAAUGGAUGCUGACAAUCCAUCCCCUUCAAUCCAUCCCAUUUUACUGUCUGCAAGCAGCGCCUGGUCUGGAGACCUGGUGAACAGCUUGCUAAGAGCUUGUUGAUCAAACCAGGUUAGUUGUGAUCAGCCACGUGGCAUAUUCCCAUGGCCAUGAAGUAAAAACCCUCCACUCUCCUCAAAUAGUCCCUAAAACUCUCUUCCAAUUUGCAGUCUUAGCUUGCUACAAGUAUGUCCACUAUGUUUGUAAGGCAAAGGGAACAGGAAAGGGAUGCAAAGGCUGCAAAAAUUAUCUUCCAUCUCUUUUUUAGAGGUGAUGAGACAAGAGCCUGCAAAGUUUGGGAGAGCUAAUGCUACUGGUGCACUUGGGUGGGAGACAUCUGCGGUGAAGGUAUGUAUGAACUAAAAGCCACAGUAAAAUGUGUCUGGUGAGGUUCUAGCAUGAGCAUGUUGAGGAAGAUGUAGGACAGAUCCCCAUUAUCAUACUGAGCAUCUGGGAACUACGAGUCACUCUUAAGAGAACACACCAAAAAUAGUAAUAUAUGUCCAGGGUGGCAGGCACUGGACCGCCAGACAGAGCUGAAUCAAAUGGCUGGAGAUAACUGGACAAGAAAACAAAUGGCUGGAAAGAUAGCCAUCAAAUUCCUCUUAGUCCUUUCUCUGACACUUUGUUCUCUCUGCAAAAUGUUGACAAAGUUCCUUAAGACAGAAAGAGACUAGAAAUGGAAAAAGUAAGUGGCUAGGCCAUGGUUAUGGCUUAUUUUCUUUCCCCAACAGGGGAGUAUUGUAUAACAGAAUUUUGUUCAAGUAUCAGUUUUAUUCUUAAAAUAGUUAUUAUUCUUCAUACU